UGAGGAAUAUUGGGCAAUGCCCGCAAGGGUGACCCAGCAACGCCGCGUGGAGGAUGAAUGUCGUAAGAUUGUAAACUCCUGUUAGAGGGGAAGAAUAGUACCGGUUGGACCGGUAUAUGACUGUACCCUCAGAGAAAGCCCCGGUUAACUACGUGCCAGCAGCCGCGGUAAUACGUAGGGGGCAAGCGUUGUCCGGAUUUACUGGGUGUAAAGGGCGCGCAGGCGGGAUAAAAAGUCAGUGGUGAAAUCCUACAGCUUAACUGUAGAACUGCCUUUGAUACUUUUAUUCUUGAGUUCGGGAGAGAGAGACGGAAUUCCAGGUGUAGUGGUGAAAUACGUAGAUAUCUGGAAGAACACCAGUUGCGAAGGCGGUCUCUUGGUCCGACACUGACGCUGAGGCGCGAAAGCGUGGGGAGCAAACA
rnacentral:rRNA from 1 species